rnacentral:rRNA from 1 species
GACGAACGCUGGCGGCGUGCUUAACACAUGCAAGUCGAACGGAAAGGCCCUGCUUGCAGGGUACUCGAGUGGCGAACGGGUGAGUAACACGUGGGUGAUCUGCCCUGCACUUCGGGAUAAGCCUGGGAAACUGGGUCUAAUACCGGAUAGGAGCCAUUUUUAGUGUGAUGGUUGGAAAGUUUUUUCGGUGUAGGAUGAGCUCGCGGCCUAUCAGCUUGUUGGUGGGGUAAUGGCCUACCAAGGCGGCGACGGGUAGCCGGCCUGAGAGGGUGGACGGCCACAUUGGGACUGAGAUACGGCCCAGACCCCUACGGGGGGGAGCAGUGGGGAAUAUUGCACAAUGGGCGAAAGCCUGAUGCAGCGACGCCGCGUGGGGGAUGACAGCCUUCGGGUUGUAAACCCCUUUCGCUAGGGACGAAGUUUUUUGUGACGGUACCUAGAAAAGAAGCACCGGCUAACUACGU